rnacentral:rRNA from 1 species
CGCGGCCUAUCAGCUUGUUGGUGGGGUAGUGGCUUACCAAGGCUUUGACGGGUAGCCGGCCUGAGAGGGUGACCGGCCACAUUGGGACUGAGAUACGGCCCAGACUCCUACGGGAGGCAGCAGUGGGGAAUAUUGCACAAUGGGCGGAAGCCUGAUGCAGCAACGCCGCGUGCGGGAUGACGGCCUUCGGGUUGUAAACCGCUUUCGCCUGUGACGAAGCGUGAGUGACGGUAAUGGGUAAAGAAGCACCGGCUAACUACGUGCCAGCAGCCGCGGUGAUGCGUAGGGUGCGAGCGUUGUCCGGAUUUAUUGGGCGUAAAGGGCUCGUAGGUGGUUGAUCGCGUCGGAAGUGUAAUCUUGGGGCUUAACCCUGAGCGUGCUUUCGAUACGGGUUGACUUGAGGAAGGUAGGGGAGAAUGGAAUUCCUGGUGGAGCGGUGGAAUGCGCAGAUAUCAGGAGGAACACCAGUGGCGAAGGCGGUUCUCUGGGCCUUUCCUGACGCUGAGGAGCGAAAGCGUGGGGAGCGAACAGGCUUAGAUACCCUGGUAGUCCACGCUGUAAACGGUGGGUACUAGGUGUGGGGUCCAUUCCACGGGUUCCGCGCCGUAGCUAACGCUUUAAGUACCCCGCCUGGGGAGUACGG